rnacentral:rRNA from 1 species
AUACGGAGGGUGCAAACGUUGUUCGGAAUCACUGGGCGUAAAGGGCGCGCAGGCGGUUUGAUUAGUCAGAUGUGAAAGCCCACGGCUUAACCGUGGAAGUGCAUUUGAAACUGUCAGACUUGAGUACCAGAGGGGGUAGUGGAAUUCCCGGUGUAGAGGUGAAAUUCGUAGAUAUCGGGAGGAAUACCGGUGGCGAAGGCGACUUUCUGGCUAGAUACUGACGCUGAGGCGCGAAAGCGUGGAAAGCAAACAGGAUUAGAAACCCCGGUAGUCC